rnacentral:tRNA from 1 species
CCGAUCUAGCUCAGCCUGGUAGAGCGUCGACUUGGCAUGGCGAAGGCCUGGGGUUCAAAUCCCCACCGGUCCA